AGUUUAACUAGUGCGGAUUACAUCAGCUAGACAAACUUAGAAAUCAUACAAACAUUCCAAAAAGAACCACCACCAGUCCUGGUCGUAGAGUUUGCAUGCAUUUUCCCCCGGUAGAGAUGACAGCAUAUUGCUAACAGAUUCAUACAUACUUGAGCCGAGGCUUACUGGAUCAAUAUGCACUAUCACAAGAGCGAUGGGAGCCAAUGCUGCUAUUGUUACGAUCACGGCAGCCUCGUCUAAAUCGAAUGUACUGUUUUGUAGCCCUUCCUGCAGACUCUACUGUUUCUUUAACGAAGAGAGUAGUUCCCAUGAAGACAAUAUCACCAAGAUUACCGAAAUCGCGACUGGUUUGGCCACCAUCCAAUUUUUCCAUAAGUCUAAUUGUAGCCAUUGUCUUCUCCUUAAGCAAGAUAUCAUUGUUGGCCAGAGACUGUCUAAGCUCAUCCAAUGCUUUAUAUGCAA